ACUGAGGCGAGGGAUUUGAAGCUGACCCGAGAGCAAUAUUUACAGGUUCCUGCGUGGUGGUGUCGUAAUGACACCGUGUGCUGGGAGCGCAUAGUGGACAAGUGGUUCGACCCCGAGUGGCAGGCUUUGCACGACGCUGGCCGGCAGCGGUGAUUGCUGAUGUCAGGUCUAGCGCACCAUCAAGGCAGCCUCAACAAUGACGAGUACAGGGCUAGAUGGUCGUCCUCACAUGAAGGCCAGGAGUGCAACCCGUUCGUGGGAUGGGCUCUGGCCCGCAAGGGCAAGGCGACAUCCAACGUCACCUACAACCCUGACGACCCGCCCUCGGCGUAUAGCAACCCGACCGUCCA